UACGGAGGAUGCAAGCGUUAUCCGGAAUGAUUGGGCGUAAAGCGUCCGCAGGUGGCUUUGUAAGUCUGCUGUUAAAGAGUGAGGCUCAACCUCAUAAGAGCAGUGGAAACUACAAGGCUAGAGUACGUUCGGGGCAGAGGGAAUUCCUGGUGUAGCGGUGAAAUGCGUAGAUAUCGGGAGGAACACCUGAGGCGAAGGCGGGUUACUGGGCCGAUACUGACGCUGAUGCGCGAAAGCCAGGGGAGCAAACGGG
rnacentral:rRNA from 1 species